rnacentral:rRNA from 1 species
GACGAACGCUGGCGGUGUGCUUAACACAUGCAAGUCGAACGGAAAGGCCCUGCUUUUGUGGGGUGCUCGAGUGGCGAACGGGUGAGUAACACGUGAGUAACCUGCCCUUGACUUUGGGAUAACUUCAGGAAACUGGGGCUAAUACCGGAUAGGAGCUCCUGCUGCAUGGUGGGGGUUGGAAAGUUUCGGCGGUUGGGGAUGGACUCGCGGCUUAUCAGCUUGUUGGUGGGGUAGUGGCUUACCAAGGCUUUGACGGGUAGCCGGCCUGAGAGGGCGACCGGCCACAUUGGGACUGAGAUACGGCCCAGACUCCUACGGGAGGCAGCAGUGGGGAAUAUUGCACAAUGGGCGGAAGCCUGAUGCAGCAAUGCCGCGUGCGGGAUGACGGCCUUCGGGUUGUAAACCGCUUUCGCCUGUGACGAAGCGUGAGUGACGGUAAUGGGUAAAGAAGCACCGGCUAACUACGUG